UACAGAGGGUGCAAGCGUUGCUCGGAUUUACUGGGCGUAAAGCGUACGCAGACGGUGAGAAAGGUCGGAUGUGAAAGCCCCGGGCUCAACCCGGGAACUGCAUCCGAAACCAUCUCGCUCGAGUGUGGGAGAGGGAAGCGGAAUUCCUGGUGUAGAGGUGAAAUUCGUAGAUAUCAGGAGGAACACCGGCGGCGAAGGCGGCUUCCUGGCCCAUUACUGACGUUCAGGUACGAAAGCGUGGGUAGCAAACAGGAUUAGAAACCCCCGUAGUCC
rnacentral:rRNA from 1 species